rnacentral:lncRNA from 1 species
GCGGUUCUCUCCCUGCUCUGCAGAUACUAAGCGCUCUGCCUUCCCACAGAUUUUUCGAGUAAUUAGUUGCUCGCUGCCAGUAAACCCAGCCACUUUUGAGGGACAACACGCAUCCUCCUCCCAGUCAAUCUUGCUGUUUUUGAGUUGCUGCCAAUUUUGCUUCUUCUGGGAGCUGGCAGAUGGGUCCUGUCUCUUUCGGCUGAUGAAGAUGUAGAGGCUCAGAGCUCGGAGUUAAACUCUAACGAGGAACAAAGUUGGACAGAACCUCCUAGGUCUCUUCUAGCCCUAAUCUUGCCAGUAUUCCCCAAGGUGCUAGCACAGAGCCUCAGUCAUCGCCCACACACACUCAAAUGGCUUGUUGUUGCAGGCAGCCCUGAACCUGGCAACCCGGGGCAACAUAUUCUGAUGAUGGCCUGGGGCCAGAGUCUGAGACCUUUGCAGAGAGAAGCGCUCCUGUGGACUUCAGGCAAGGAGUGACCCAUCACCGACAUUCAGUUCGCUGGCCUUGCCUCGGGCUCCGGCACAUGAAAUAGUGGCUUAUCAUGUUUUUCCAUCAUAUGAUGUGGUAGGUCUCAGAGAAAUGUUUUGCCCCACAAAGUGAACCUCUAAACACUCAGUUCCCCAUGUAAGCACAGCUCUUCAGAGCUUUGCCCUUCACUCUCCCCGCACAGGGUAGAUCCUGCAAAAAAAAAAAAAAAAUGACCGGAGGAAUCUUGGGCUAAAGAUGAUUCUCCGGCUCAUUCAAAGAGCCCAUCUGAGCCCCUGAGUCUCCACUGGAUGCCCUUUCUUAGUAAGAAACACUGGCAUAAGCCACUCAAGUAAUGUAUGGCUGUGAAAAUCCAGAUCAAUACUGGCAUCAUUAUAUUUGGUUAAUUUUAGUUGUAUGCAGAUAUUUAAACACUCCAUGCACAGCGUUCUUUGUACUAGGAAGAAAACUUUCAUAAAGGGAACAUACUCGUAUCGCUUAUACCUGUUGCUAGGCAAACUUAGAGACUUAAAUGGAUAUUAAAUAGAAGGAGAACCUCCAAGUGAAGCAUCCACCAAAAUUGAUUAGCAUCUCAUACCAUUGCGAUCUAACAUGGUUUGUUCAAUGUUAGUCUUGCCUGGAAAGGAAAAUUUUGGAAAGCUGUGUUUAAAUCUACCAAACAAGAAAAUCAAACCACCAUAAAGUAAAACCCCAACUGGCUAAUUCCUUGUUCUUCUCAUUCUUUUUUUGUAAGAGACAUUUGCCUGGGAUAUCAUUUGAGACCAUUUCUAAAGCAGAAGUAGUGUCAAGUUCCCAAAUAGAAAAAAAAAAAAAAAAAAAAUAGGACAGAGGUCUAAGGGUAAAUCCCUAAACAAUGGAAGGAAAACCACACACUUUGACCAGAGUAACGGCUUUGGGCCAUGAUUUUGAUCAGUUGUCAUUAGCACUGACAAAUUGCAUGGACUUGCGAAAAUGCAUCCUGGGCAGAACCUGAAAUGAAAAUUCACGAUG